UACAGAGGUCCCAAGCGUUGUUCGGAUUCACUGGGCGUAAAGGGUGCGUAGGUGGUGGGGCAAGUCUGAUGUGAAAGCUUCGAGCUUAACUCGGAAAUGGCAUUGGAAACUACUCUGCUUGAGGUUUGGAGGGGGGACUGGAAUUCUCGGUGUAGCAGUGAAAUGCGUAGAUAUCGAGAGGAACACCAGUGGCGAAGGCGAGUCCCUGGACAACACCUGACACUGAGGCACGAAAGCUAGGGGAGCAAACAGG
rnacentral:rRNA from 1 species